rnacentral:misc_RNA from 1 species
AACGCAUAUUGCGCUCGAGGCUCCGGCCGAGAGCAUGUCUGCCUCAGCGUCGGGUUAAUAUCACCAAUCCAAACCAUUGGUUGGUGGACCUGGCUGUUCCAGCGAAAGGCGGUGCUGCCUUGUUGAUUCAAUCACCAAGUAGCACCAGUAGUCCUGCUGGAUCAGCUGAAAUACAGAGGCUAACUAAGGACCCUAUGAUUAAAGGGCCGCAACUGGGUAGGUGGCGCGGCUCAGCUAUUAUCUAACCAUAACAGCUGGGCCACACUCAUCACACGCUUAGUUGUUGGUCUGGGGACCUUUACAGUUCACAGCCCUCAACCAGGAAAUCAAUUAACUCAUUAUCUCGACCUGAGCUCAGGCAAGAACACCCGCUGAACUUAA